CUAUGAAUGAUGUUAAAAAUAUCCAAAUAAAUGAUACAGAGAAGAUUAGCAUGACCCCUGCGCAAGGAUGACACGCAAAUUCGUGAAGCGUUCCAUUAAAAA